CCUGAGCCCUGCUGAGGCUUCAGCUGCCAUCUCUGCUGCUUGGCAGUGCAGGCACAGCCUGGACAAGACCGGCACAGCCCAGAGGAAUUAUCCCCAGCAGGCUCAGGACACUCGGCUACUGAGCAGUCCUGUUGGGCUCCCUGCAUGGGAGACACGUCCCAAAACCCAGCAGUGGCUGCAAAAGGGUGUCCAUGGUGGGGAAUGGGCAGAGGGGGAGGUCAAGGCUCCACUGCAUCCUGAGAGGGCCUGGCUCUGUCCCCUUGGGCUGUAGGAGCUGUCCCAGCAGAGGGAGGGCAGGAGGGAUGGAGCGGGGAAGGGAUAUUUGUGGCACUGCCUGCUGUUGUUUUCCCCAGGGCUUUAGGGAGGGUUUUCUCUUUGGGAGGGGAGAGAGCUCCCAGGAGCCCCCGGCUACCCCACUUUCCUCUCCAGGGAUGUUGCACAGGGCAUGGAAAAAGGGUGGAGAGUGACCAGCAGCCAGCCCAGAGCUCCCCAGGCCCCUCUGCAGAUUUGGCCCUGUCCAUUGACACAUAGCUCCCAUGGCCUUACCCAAACCCCUUGCAGUGCCCAGUCCCCUAAGGCAGAAGGGGAUCCCAGAAUGGACUGAAAAGGGUUCUCAUGUGUGCUCCGUUGUAGAUUGGGAUUGUGAUAUGGAUUAUGUGGAAGCCCUGGUGGAAAAUGGCUUGAAAUUCUUGGAGGAUGUUGGAGCCAAGCCGCUUGGUGAAGGUGAUGCAGCUUCUCAACCCACACCCAGGACUGAGCCUCAGAGAGGUGGUGAGGUUACAGGUGUGUCUGCAGGGAGCGCUUCCCCAGAUCUUGAGGUGGUUACUGCACCCAAGCCUGGCUCCCAUCGCAGGGGUAAGUGGUGUGUCCCUCCUGACCCCACAGGCUGGGGACUGGUUUUUUGGGAUCCAUUCCUGGGAAAUGGAAAUACUUUGUGUUAAGGUCCUCCAAAAAGAAAGACCCAAGAUAAUGGAACCAAAA
rnacentral:lncRNA from 1 species